rnacentral:rRNA from 1 species
AUUGAACGCUGGCGGCAGGCCUAACACAUGCAAGUCGAGCGAGUGGGGGACGGGUGAGGAAUAGCUGGGAAUUGCCCAGUCGAGGGGGAUAACAGUUGGCAAAGAGUGCUAAUACCUCAUAGGGUUUGAUUGCCCAGGUGGGAUUGGCGAGUUGGUGAGGUAAUGGCUUACCAAGGCGACGGUCCCUAGCUGGUCUGAGCGGAUGAUCAGCCACACUGGAACUGAGACACGGUCCAGACUCUUACGGGAGGCAGCAGUGGGGAAUAUUGCACAAUGGGGGAAACCCUGAUGCAGCCAUGCCGCGUGUGUGAAGAAGGCCUUCGGGUUGUAAAGCACUUUCAGCGAGGAGGCGUUACUCGCAGAGGAAGCACCGGCUAACUCCGUGCCAGCAGCCGCGGUAAUUC